rnacentral:rRNA from 1 species
GUGGGGAAUAUUGGGCAAUGGGCGCAAGCCUGACCCAGCAACGCCGCGUGAAGGAAGAAGGCUUUCGGGUUGUAAACUUCUUUUGUCAGGGACGAGUAGAAGACGGUACCUGACGAAUAAGCCACGGCUAACUACGUGCCAGCAGCCGCGGUAAUACGUAGGUGGCAAGCGUUGUCCGGAUUUACUGGGUGUAAAGGGCGUGUAGCCGGGAGGGCAAGUCAGAUGUGAAAUCCACGGGCUCAACUCGUGAACUGCAUUUGAAACUACUCUUCUUGAGUAUCGGAGAGGCAAUCGGAAUUCCUAGUGUAGCGGUGAAAUGCGUAGAUAUUAGGAGGAACACCAGUGGCGAAGGCGGAUUGCUGGACGACAACUGACGGUGAGGCGCGAAAGCGUGGGGAGCAAACAGGAUUAGAAACCCCAGUAGUCC